rnacentral:rRNA from 1 species
GUGGGGAAUAUUGGACAAUGGGCGCAAGCCUGAUCCAGCAAUGCCGCGUGUGUGAAGAAGGCCUGAGGGUUGUAAAGCACUUUCAAUUGUGAAGAAAAGUCUAAGGUUAAUAACCUUGGACCCUGACGUUAACUUUAGAAGAAGCACCGGCUAACUCCGUGCCAGCAGCCGCGGUAAUACGGAGGGUGCGAGCGUUAAUCGGAAUUACUGGGCGUAAAGCGUACGUAGGUGGCUUGAUAAGUCGGAUGUGAAAGCCCUGGGCUCAACCUGGGAACUGCAUUCGAUACUGUCUGGCUAGAGUAUAGUAGAGGGAAGUGGAAUUCCGGGUGUAGCGGUGAAAUGCGUAGAUAUCCGGAGGAACACCAGUGGCGAAGGCGGCUUCCUGGACUAAUACUGACACUGAGGUACGAAAGCGUGGGGAGCAAACAGG